GCUUGUCUCAAAGAUUAAGCCAUGCAUGUCUAAGUAUAACUCUUUUACUUUGAAAACUGCGAACGGCUCAUUAUAUCAGUUAUAGUUUCUUUGAUAGUCCCUUACUACUUGGAUACCCGUAGUAAUUCUAGAGCUAAUACAUGCAUCAAUACCCAACUGUUCGCGGAAGGGUAGUAUUUAUUAGGUAUAGACCAAUGCGGGUUCCCCGGUAUUUGGUGAUUCAUAAUAACUUUCGGAUCGACUUCGGUCGAUGCAUCAUUCAAGUUUCUGCCCUAUCAGCUUUGGAUGGUAGGGUAUUGGCCUACCAUGGCUUUAACGGGUAACGGAGAAUUAGGGUUCGAUUCCGGAGAGGGAGCCUGAGAAAUGGCUACCACAUCCAAGGAAGGCAGCAGG
rnacentral:rRNA from 1 species